CGGCACCUCAAGUGGUCAGGAUGAUUAUUGGGCCUAAAGCAUCCGUAGCCGGCGCUGUAAGUUUUCGGUUAAAUCUGUACGCUCAACGUACAGGCUGCCGGGAAUACUGCAGCGCUAGGGAGUGGGAGAGGUAGACGGUACUCGGUAGGAAGGGGUAAAAUCCUUUGAUCUGUUGAUGACCACCUGUGGCGAAGGCGGUCUACCAGAACACGUCCGACGGUGAGGGAUGAAAGCUGGGGGAGCAAACCGGAUUAGAGACCCGAGUAGUCC
rnacentral:rRNA from 1 species